GUUGGGAGUUAAAGCAGUUAUUGCGAAAAGCUUCGAGAGAAUUCAUCGUAGUAACUUGGUAGGAAUGGGUAUCAUUCCACUUUGUUUCAAGUCUGGUGAGGAUGCUGAUUCACUCGGAUUGACUGGACAUGAGCGUUACUCGAUUGACCUCCCGAACAACAUCAGCGAGAUAAGGCCUGGCCAAGACGUGACUGUCACCACUGAUUCUGGAAAAUCUUUCACCUGCACUGUUCGCUUUGACACUGAGGUGGAGCUGGCCUAUUUCAACCAUGGAGGUAUCCUUCCAUACGUUAUUCGGAAUCUCAUUAAGCAAUGAGGAACAUGUGGAGUCUCUCAUUUAGCAGCAGCGGCGGCGGCGGGGGGCUUGGGCGUGCGUGAACUCGUCCUUUUUUUAAUUCCCCAUUUUUGUUAAUAAGGAAAUAGAAAAUCCCUGAGCAGCAAUUUCAUUUCAAACCUCUUUCCAAUUUCUCUCAGAAAUCGAAAAAUCUCCAACUUCCACCCUAUCUUUCUUUCUCUGUCAAAAUCUUUUCACUUAAAACUGUUUCCUUCUUGAAUAAUGUGUGGAGGUGCUAUAAUCUCCGGCUUCAUUCCGCCGACUCGCUCCCGGCGAGUCACCGGCGAACACCUUUGGCCCAAUCUCAAGAAACCCGCCUUCGGAAAUCAAUUCUCGAAGCCGGUCAAGUCUGAUAUCAUUGACAUUGAUGAUGAUUUCGAGACUGAUUUCCAGCAUUUCAAGGACGAUUCCGAUUUGGAUUUUGAUGUGGAGGAGCUCGUCGACAUCAAACCCCUUUCCUUCUCUGCUGGUGGAAACCCUCCCCUUCCUUCUGCUCGUGUUUCAAAAUCUGUAGAAUUCUCUGGACAAGCUGAAAAAUCUGCAAAAAGAAAGCGAAAGAAUCAGUACAGGGGAAUCCGACAGCGACCAUGGGGUAAAUGGGCUGCAGAAAUUCGCGACCCACGAAAAGGAGUUCGUGUGUGGCUGGGCACUUUUAAUACUGCUGAGGAAGCUGCUCGAGCAUAUGAUGCUGAAGCACGACGAAUUCGUGGAAAGAAAGCUAAGGUCAAUUUUCCCGACGAAGCACCGCGAACUAGUGGAAAACGUUCAGCAAAGACAAACCUUCAGGAACCACUUCCUAAAACUAGCUUGGCAAAGACCCAAACAGAUCUAAUCCAGAACAAUAAGUUUGUGAAUAGCUCUGAUGAAGAAUACUUCAGUACCGUGGGUUUCCUGGAGGAAAAACCGCUUACAAAUCAACUAGUGAACAUGAAUUCAUUCUCUGCCAAUGUAGAUGGUGCAAUAAAAACCAGUCCACCUUCUUCUGAUGUUGCACCUAUGUACUUUAAUUCAGAUCAAGGUAGCAAUUCCUUUGAUUACUCUGACUUUGGAUGGGGAGAGCAGGGUGCAAAGACUCCUGAAAUCUCGUCUUUUCUUUCAGCUGCCAUGGAAAAUGAAGAUUCUUACUUUGUGGAGGAUGCUUCCCCAAGGAAGAAAGUCAAGUAUAGCCCAGAGAAUACGGUGGUUUCUCAAGGCUCUGAGAAAACUUUAUCUGAGGAGUUAUCUUCUUUUGAGCCUGAGAUGAAAUACUUCCAGAUGCCAUAUCUUGAUGGCAGCUGGGAUGCAUCAAUGGAUGCCUUCCUUGCCGGAGAGACAGGGAACCAGGAUGGCGGGAACUCAGUCGACCUUUGGACCUUUGACGAUCUUGCAGGAAUGGUCGGCAGUGUCUUCUAAGCAAAUCUUGUCCAGCUUGCUAGGUUAUGUAAAUAAAAAGCUACAUAUUAGAACAUUUGUGAUCUGUUAUGGGAAUGGACGUGAGAGAGAUCUGCCUGCAUUAGCAAUGGCCUGACAAACAUAGCUAUUGGUGUGUAUGUUGAAUAUGAGGACACUUAGUACAACUUGGUAGGCUUCGUUUCAUGUUUCGAGACCAUAAUAUGGGAAACUCAAAACUAAUAUAAUGCUUGUACUGAUAUAACUACGUGUGGUUGGUUUGCUAUGGAUGUUGAAAACUUGAUAAAAAUCUCAAUUCUGCCUUUU
rnacentral:misc_RNA from 1 species